UUGGGCAUAAUGUUAAUUUACUUAAUUUGAAAUUAACCAACGUUGCAUGGUAGAGGCCUGGAGCAGCUCCGGCGCUGCGCGGAGUUGGACCACAUAUAGCAGACGCCGAUCAAAUAUGCUCGUCGCCGCGGCUCACUGAUGCACUCGCGGGCAGCCUUCGCUGUCGACGAAUCAACUUCGUCAAGGAAUCGGACUCACCUGCCAUCGAAUCAGCCUCCGUCCUCAUCUGCCCGAAAGGGGAGAAGAGAGCUCGCCUGGGAGAUAAGGGGCAGCUAUGCGAAAUUACUAUUCUAUCCUUUAAAUUUAUUUUAGAAAUAAGUCUUUGCUCAUAUAUUUUUGGUUUCUUCGGACCCACAUAUUUCACAUAUUUUAGAUUCCAGCCCACAAGUUAAGUUCUUCUAUAUUGCUUCUUCUUGUUUUAUAGACAUAUAAUCUAUUCAAAUAAAUGACUCUAUUUUUUUUCUAAACACUAUAAAAUUUCAGUUAGGUUCCGUUUGGAUCCUUAGAAUUUAAUUCAUUCUAACAAUUAUAAUUUAGACAUAGAUUAAUAAAGCUAAUAUAAUUAUAUAUGGAAUAUAUUUGUAUAUUUAUUGUUAGGCAUAUAAGGGACAUACUUAUAUAUUGUAUUUAUUUUUUUUUUUGACGAAAUUGUUUAAGAAAAAACAAGAGUUGUACAACAAAACAAACCAGAAACGGCUCAAGGAACAAAGAAGGAAAAAAAGAAAAUAAAAGAAGACAACCAAAUUACAACAGAUUCUAGAUCCAUAAAUCAAAGGUUACAGAAAAUUUAGCCUUUAUCCACAGGGAAAGGAUCUUUAGUUCCUUCUCAAAAAUCUCUUUAGCUCUUCCUAGUUUUGGAUGAAUUUCUUGGAAUAUGAGUUCUAUAGAAUCUAGACACCAUCAUAAAGAAGGACGAGUUUGAUUGAUUUCUAAUUUGUUCUAUUGCCUGAAAGGUGUCAAUCUGAUUCUGAAGAUCAAUCCCAAUUAGGUUCCACAUUGAACAUAAAACUGACAGUUCAAGAAUAGAUGCUCCAUUGUUUCUUCAACUGCAUUCUGACAAAGCACACAAUUAAAAUAUUCUAGCUGCAUUUCUUUCCCUUCUCAGUGUUCUUGGUACUCAACUUGUCUUUCAUUAGCCACCAAAAAAAUACUUUAUGUUUGGGUUGGCAACAAGACUUCCAUAAUCAUUUGAAGGCCUGAAGGAGUUGCAUUUCUAUUGUAGGAAAGUGAGUUGAAGAAUGUGCUAUAAGUUGAAGAAUAAGCAUAGUGAUCUAUAGAAUCUAUUUUCAUCUUUCACCCUAUAAAUUUGAGAUAGGCCUAUUUGUGAGCUUAGGAAAGUUAUAUUAUGAAAUAUCAAAGUCCAAGCCAAAUAGCCUAAUGCAUUAUGUAGAUUUCAAUCCGCACUUUAUAGUUAUGAUUUCACUCUUGGAUGGGCA
rnacentral:lncRNA from 1 species